CCGGAUGGGUACCGAUAAAUGCCCAAUUACAGUAGUUGCUAAUGAUAACAACACUGAAGAGUUCGCUCUAGCUGCGUAAGCGGUUAAGCAAAUUCGACCUUAACUCCUAGCCCUUCAGACGGCUAGGCGGGCUUCGCAGGGUAGCUGGCAACAGAAACCCUGCACU
rnacentral:tmRNA from 1 species